GUUUUUUUGCCUCUAGUGAAGGACAUCAGAAACCGUUUUGAUCAUGGAGGUAACUGGAAAAAGAGCCCUACAUACCUAAUUUCUACUUCCUACCUUCAACCUUUACUCCUUUGGACAGGAGCAACACUUAUCUGCAGGGGUUUGGAUCCAGUCGUGUUACCUUCAGCAGCAAGCCAAGCUGUUAAAACACGCCUUUUGACUUUUGUGAGAUCAUUAUCGACUGUCCUGGCUAUUGCAU